rnacentral:rRNA from 1 species
UACAGAGACCUCGAGCGUUAUCCGGAUUUAUUGGGCGUAAAGCGUGCGCAGGCUUGCCAAAAAGUCUUUGGUUAAAUCCUAAAGCUCAACUUUAGAAUCGCCAGGGAAACUUUUGGCAUUGAGGCCGGGAGAGGUCAGCGGAAUUGCCGGUGUAACGGUAAAAUGUGUUAAUAUCGGCAAGAACACCAGAGGCGAAAGCGGCUGACUAGAACGGAUCUGACGCUGUGGCACGAAAGCGUGGGGAG